GAUUAAAAAAUUGUUGUUUACUUUGUUUAGGCUUUUACUGUGUUUUUCUUUGUGGUAUUUAAGGUUUUGAAAAGAUUCAUUGCAGGGUUUAGGUAACUAUUUAUAUUGGUAUAAAGAUGUUUUUUUAUUCUGCUUUGCCUUGUAAGUUCCGUCAGUCGGAUUUGUGAAUAAACUCCAGCAACUAAUGGAACACACAGUAUAGCUUAACUUCUGAGUCCCUGCAAUAAAAUGAGUAUUUGACCCACUGCAUCAUUGUCAUUUAAGGCUGCUGAUUGCAGCAUUUGACAUUAUGGGAGUAAAAUUGCAUAUUAAUUUUAUGGUAGGCAUUUAAAAAUCUGUUAAUGGAUUGAGUGUCACCUAAUAUGUUCACUAACUGCACAAUCAUGGAGAAAUUCAUUGUACAACACUCCCAAAAUGGCGCAUCAAAGAUUUUCCUGAUUAUCAAAUUUAAGUUCUGGUGGUUAGGUCAUCGGAGUGUGUAUUCGAAUUCCGGUCGGGACACUAUAAGUGGGUACCAGCUAGGGUAGAGGUUGAUACUGUGUAUGAAAAGCCCUUAGAGCAUAGGGUUGCCCAGGUUGUAUACCCCCAAGGGAGCUGAGACAGAUUAAAAGAAUGUUAUGGCCAAAUGACCAAUGCAAUAAUGUAAAGCGCAUUGAGACGGUUAUUGUGAAAUGUGCUCUAUAUAAGAACUAGUUAUUACUACAAGUAUUAUUAUGACAUCAUGUGGUUUGGGUCAAUAAGUUGUUUUAAUAUCAUGUGUUGUACUCUUUAUUUAUUUUACUUAUCAAAUAAUAAACCUCAAGGUAAACAGACUGGGCAUUUUUUUCUUUACUCAAUCCCAAUAUUUGUUUUUUUACUUGUAGGAAUCCGUGAGAAGAUGACACUCUGAGAUGUGCGGGAAGAUGUGUGGGGAGGCAGCCCACCAGCAAGGCCUCCCCUGAAAUGGCUGCUGAACUCGAGUACAUAAAGUGCCAUAGAAGCUUUACUGUAGUGAAAUAAUAUUUGCCAUCAUCCUGCCAUACACACAUGGUCUUAAAGAGACAUGACAAGACAAGCACAUAAGAAAACGAGAUGAUGGAAAACCUCUUCAGUUGUUUGUGUUCUGCUCAGAUGUUGCCUAGCGACAAGGGAUGCUCAGUUUGAUAACAUCUUCUCCACAAUGGGAGCAAUUGAAAGAGAACAGGUGAUGAGGAGGGUGCAUGACUCCAGGAAUGCGUCCCCAUUACAAUGUGAGCAUGAGGCGACCACGGACACAUGUUUAUGCCAGACCACAACACUGUACUAAUGAAACUCAAUGCAUGCAUCAAGGACAUUCACCAAAGAGCCACUUCCAGUCAUUUCCAUCCACUUGGUGAUGUGAAACCACUCAACGAAAGCCAGAAAUCUCUGUGCAGUCAUGGAUGAACAUCUACAUGUAUAACUGAAGGACCAUGUCACACCACCCUAUAUGCCCCUCUUCAAUGACUGUCAUCCAAAGAUGUUUUAAAUUUAGAAAAUAAUGAUCCGCACAAAUACACCUGGAAAUUGUUUGGUAUUCCUUGGCCGUCUUGAACUAACAUGAUCUGCCAUUUUGUUGAAGCAGUAGUUUGACUCCCCAAAAUGGCAGACCAUCAUAGUCCACAAAGUAUUUGGAAAACCUCACAGUUUUAAAGUACAUUAGUUUAAUUAUCCACUACUUUUAAAUGCUUUUCUGUCCAACCUGGUUCAUGUCAUAACAAACUCUUUCAUAGCCCAAAACGCCCAAAAGCAAUAUGUGUCGCUAAAAAAUGUUGAUGAAAUAAAUGAAAUCAUUGAUUGUGAUUGCAAUUAUUGAAGCUUGAGACUCGAAAACAACAACAAGGUUUUGACAAGUACAAGUACUGAGUCUAACAGUUUCAUGUUGCCUAAUGUCUAAAGGGACACGUCGCUUUUGGAUUGGGUGUUUUGAGCUUUAGAAAGUGCUUGCUAUGAAACGGAUGACGUUGGAAAUAUGGUUUAAAAUUAGAAAAUAAUUAUCCACAAAAAUGUACCCUCCUGAACUAUAACACAACCUGCCGUUUUUGUUGAAGCAAAUUCAUGACUCCUCAAAAUGGCAGACUAUUUUAGUUCACAGUAAGUAUUAUGGAAUUUUUGAAAACCACACAGUUUUGAGGCACCUUAGUGUUGAUAAUUACACACAAAUCUAAAAGCAAUGUGUCUCUUGAAGAAGAUUUUGAGGACCAUGUGAUUGAAAUUGUUGAAAUUUGACAUGUGAUGAAUUUUCAACAAGGUUUGAUAAAGUAUCGAGUCAGACUUUUUAUUGUUGAAUUAUCCCACAUGCCUAAAGGGGACAUGUCGUUUUUGAGGUGGGUGUUACUGGUUUGGGCUUUAGAAAGUGCUUGCUGUGAAAUGUAUGUGGUUGAAAAUAUGUUUUAAAAUAAAAAAAUAAUGAUCCACACAGAUAAACAUGUACCUGGAAAUUGUUUGGUUCUCUUGAAGUAUCACAGUCUGUCAUUUUGUUGAAGCAAGUUAUGGACUCCUAAAAAUGGCGGACUAUUUUAGUUCACAAAGUAAAUGGAAUUUUUGACUUCACAAAACACAAAGUAUAAGGAAAACCACACAGUUUUGAGGCACCUUUUAGUGUCGAUAAAUAUACACUACUUCCAAAACAUGUUUCCAACCUGGGCCCUAUUUUAUAAAGCUGUUAGGCAGAAAACACUUCAUGACAAAUUUAUUUGCUAUGUUAUUUUGGGUGGAAACCUGAUUCUGUUAAGUUAUGCUUUUCUGUGCCGAGCCAGUUGUUUUGCUUUUAGGCUUUAUUAAAUUGGUCCUAGAUUCAUAUCAUACAUGUGGGCAAUUCCACACUUAAUGGACCAAAGGGAUAACUUUGUAAGACAGGCAUCUUUUUUUGUUAACCACAAUCCUCAUGUGCUUCUGAAUGUACACAGACAAAAAUACAUUACUUAAUUUUGUUACAACUAUCCAAACUUUCCCUUUCCAUUUGUGCCCAUUAGUGUGGAUAUUGCCCAUGUACUGUAACAAAUGCUUUCAUAGUCCAAAGCGUCAAAUCUAAAAGUAAUGUUUCUCUUGGAGAAGGUUUUGAUGACAAUGUGAUCGAAAUUGUUGAAAUUUGAGAUGUGAUGAAUUUUCAAUAAGGUUUGAUAAAGUAUCGAGUCAGACUUUUUAUUGUUGAAUUAUCCCACAUGCCUAAAGGGGACAUGUCGUUUUUGAGGUGGGUGUUACUGGUUUGGGCUUUAGAAAGUGCUUGCUGUGAAAU